AUGAAAACCCUAAAGGUUUUAGAGUUUCUAAUCAGGGUCUCUUUCAAAUAAUAAUAUGCCAGCGAUCCUACUAAGCUAAGGUUUGUAGGGAUAACCAUAAGCACUACGGAUUUGGAAGGAUGUUCGUCAUGUCAGUGGGUGAGUUUCCAUACCUACAAUUGUGAUUCUAGGGAGAUGUGGUGAAGGGAGAUGUCAGUGGGUGAGUUUC
rnacentral:lncRNA from 1 species